rnacentral:rRNA from 1 species
CAGUCGCCGCGGUAAUACGAAGGGUGCAAGCGUUAAUCGGAAUUACUGGGCGUAAAGGGCGUGUAGGCGGUCUGGGGCGUCCCAUGUGAAAGGCCACGGCUCAACCGUGGAGGAGCGUGGGAUACGCUCAGGCUAGAGGGUGGGAGAGGGUGGUGGAAUUCCCGGAGUAGCGGUGAAAUGCGCAGAUACCGGGAGGAACGCCGAUGGCGAAGGCAGCCACCUGGUCCACUUCUGACGCUGAGGCGCGAAAGCGUGGGGAGCAAACCGGAUUAGAUACCCCAGUAGUCCCUGUCUCUUAUAC